UUGCCUGAAUGAGCAAUGUGUUCUAGAAUCUGAACAAAUUAAACAAUGCACUCACAAACUGCUGACAAAAUCUAAGAAUUGGACUGGAGAUUUCCUUGUGGGUUCCGAACCAGCACCAGCUGUCAUAAUGAAUUAACUGUUUCUGUGGACGAUGCAGCCAGUUAAGUCAUUUUGAAUGAUUUGUAAGUGUAGAGGAUGUGCACUCAGUGGUCAGUUUAUUAGGUACACACAGUGGUCAGUUUAUUAGGUACACACUGGUCAGUGUAUUAGGUACACACAGUGGUCAGUGUAUUAGGUACACACAGUGGUCAGUGUAUUAGGUACACACAGUGGUCAGUGUAUUAGGUACACACAGUGGUCAGUGUAUUAGGUACACACAGUGGUCAGUGUAUUAGGUACACACAGUGGUCAGUGUAUUAGGUACACACAGUGGUCAGUGUAUUAGGUACACUCAGUGGUCAGUGUAUUAGGCACACUCAGUGGUCAGUGUAUUAGGCACACUCAGAGUACACUCAGACCAGAGAAACCCUGUAAUACUCUACACCCCCUCAGUGGUCAUAGAGACCAGAGAAACCCUGUAAUACUCUACACCUCCUCAGUGGUCAUAGAGACCAGAGAAACCCUGUAAUACUCUACACCCUCUAAGUGGUCAUAGAGACCUAGAGACAAACAAAGCACGGAGCCUGGAAUAGCUAAAGCGUUAGCCAGCACUCUACCAUUAGAGUGCUACCACUCUACCAUUAAUUACCAUGUGAGGUAUGACUGUGUCAAGUAAGUGGCUGUGUUAUAGCCCAGCUCCUGUGCCACGUCUAGAUGUGUGUAAAUAGUGUCUAUUCAGGGCAGGCCUGUUUCCUGUAGCCCUGUGGCUCUCUAGGUGAAUGUUGGGUCUACAUUGCCUGCUACACGGCCUGCUGCAUGGCCUGCUCUGUAAUGCUAAAGUAGUGUCAGCCAUAACAGCAGAACAGAGUGCCGGGCCGGGAUUUCUCACAGCUCACAGAUCAGCUUACACAUGUAUGUUUCUCUAACGACCUCUUCUGGGACUGACCUGGCAGCCACCGGAGCCGACGUUUGCUUACAACAAUUAUUUACAUCACACCUUUCUCCUCCUCCUCCCUGACCCAAUUACACAGCUCUGCUCAGGCCCCAGAAUCGCACAGCCAAUAGCACAAUCCACUAGUGUUACUGGCAAUACUUAUUGUAGACGUGCCAACUCUGUUUAAGUGCAGUACAGUUCAACAUUCCUAAUUCAAUGAGCCUAUGUUCUUUUGACUCGCUCCAGAUAUCCAUUGACUUACGUCAGGUGGCGUCACUCCUACGUCGCUCGUCCCUCAACCGCAGGUGGAAUCGACACACUAUCUGAUGUAGGACAAUGCCAGAUAUCAACAUGCUAGUGUUCACCCAUAUUGCAGGGGUGGACUAUGUAUUCCCAUACAGUUUGUCCAUAUUCUACUCCGAUCCCUGCCAUGCCAACCCAUCGCGAAAUCACGACACAGAAGUCUGUGCGUCAGCCACUACACUAUGGUGCCAUGGUGAUGACGUCAUGAUUUUACUACUGCGUCGAUUUCUGAAUGUUUGAAGACAAUGUCUUGUAAAUAUUCUAGAACCAGUUAUGUCAACACUUUUUCCUCUCCCGUCACUGCCAUCUUGCCCUAGAUCCAGAGCUUCUCGGGUCUUUGAGCCAAAAUGAGUCGUUGUUUUGUUGUGUUUCUUCAUAGCUGAAUGCAUUUACAGGCAGCUGAGUAAAUAGAGUUUCCUGUUAUGGGGGCAUUAAGACGACACAUACGGAUACAGAAGGAAACCCAGCUGUGAGCUGCCCAGUGACGAGAGCAUACCAGACGGGCUAAAUACAUUGUAUACUCACUCUGAGGCAAGCAACACUGAAGCAUGCAUGAGAGCACCAGCUGUUCCGGAGUGUGAUCAUGCUCUCGUUAGCCGAUGUGAGCAAGACCUUUAAACAGGUCAACAUUCUCAAAACCGCGGGGCCAGAUGGAUUACCAGGAUGUGUACUCAAAGCAUGUGCGAACCAACUGGCAAGUGUCUUCACUGACAUUUUCAAACUGUCUCUGACCGAGUCUGUAGGUAACCUGCCUAAAUGAGUGCCCGUAGCACUCAUGUUGGUAGCCAUGAAGUGCUUUGAAAGGUUGGUCAUGUCUGACAACAUCAUCAUGCCGGAAACCCUAGACGCACUCCAAUUUGCAUACCACCCCAACAGAUCCACAGAUGACGCAAUCUCAAUCGCACUCCACACUGCCAUUUCCCACCUGGACAAAAGGAACACCUAUGUGAGAAUGCUGUUCAUUGACUACAGCUCAGCGUUCAACACCAAAGUGCCCACAAAGCUCAUCACUAAAAUGAGGACCCUGGGACUAAACACCUCCCUCUGCAACUGGAUCCUGGACUUCCUGACGGGCCGCCCCCAGGUGGGGAGGGUAGGCAACAACACAUCUGCCACGCUGAUCCUCAACACGUGGGCUCCUCAGGGGUGCAUGCUGAGUCCCCUCCUGUACUCCCUGUUCACCCACGACUGCAUGGCCAAACAUGACUCCAACACCAUCAUUAAGUUGGCUGACGACACAACAGUGAUCAUCAACAACGAUGAGACAGC
ensembl:lncRNA